AGCAAUUUUAAAAGAAAUCUCCGUUUACAUUUUCUCUAAAUUCACGCUGUGGAUACGUACUCCAUUAGAAAACCACUGAGCCCGAAACCAGCAGCGCCGAAGGAAGCCGCCCGGCCAAACCCUUCAGACUUCAUUCGAUUCGACCUCUUCUCCUCCGGCAGCUGCCCCGGCCAUGGCCUCCUCCUCCUCCUCCUCCUCCCAGAUCGACGAUCCGGCGGCGGCGAGGCGUCCCCCGCGGCAGCAGCGGAAGCCGCCGUUGCUGAUGCUGCUCCCGCUCAUCUACGCCCCCGCGCUCCCGCUCAUCAGGAUCGGGUUGCGGCACAACCCUGUGUGGAGGGACCGCCUCUUCUACGGCGUCCUCGCAGGCGCCUUCGCCCACGGCACCUACCUCAUGUUUUGUUAUCUGAGAGGAUACAUACUGAUUAAUGAUUACUGCAAAAUGAUUACCUGAGAGAAAAGAAAGAUAAUGCUGCACGCUAUCCACCGGUAGAAAAAUAACCAGAGCUAGAUCGGAACUAUAUGACGCAGAGAGCAAAUGAGUUGCUUCCCUCCUCCAAAGAUCAAGAGAUGAGUUUUUCAGGCAGCAAAUGUUGAUUCCAUUGAAAGUCAGCAACGGAUGAAGCUGACUGGUUAGUCAGACUAUCAAGUGUGCCCUGUACCUAUUUCUUCUUCCAUUUAUGGAUUAUGUUCGCUAAAAAGAUAGAAUGGUGAGCGGACAAAAUAAUUCUGAUUGCCAGCAAUACAUCAGGCAACAUCUUUACGAUUUGUUGCAAUUUCUCAUUGGCUGCUGAGAUUUGUAAUAAUAGGUGCUUCUGAUGAUUUUAGGUGCUAUAUAAAAAUAAUUGGAAACUA